rnacentral:tRNA from 1 species
CAGGUGUGGUUCAAUGGUAGAACAUCAGCCUUCCAAGCUGAGAACGUGAGUUCGAUUCUCAUCACCUG